GCCCUGGUGGCACAGUGGUUAAUGCCUGUACUGCAGCUACAAGGUUGCAAGUUCAAUACCAGCCAGGGCU
rnacentral:tRNA from 1 species